UUCGGGUUGUAAAGUACUUUCAGCAGUGAGGAAGGUGGGAUAUGUUAAUAGCAUAUUCAUUUGACGUUAGCUGCAGAAGAAAGCACCGGCUAACUCCGUGCCAGCAGCCGCGGUAAUACGGAGGGUGCGAGCGUUAAUCGGAAUUACUGGGCGUAAAGACGCAUGCAGGUGGUUUGUUUAAGUCAGAUGUGAAAGACCCGGGGCGUCAACCUCGGAAUUGCAUUUGUAAACUAGGCAGACUAGAGUACUGUAGAGGGGGGUAGGAAUUUCAGGUGUAGCGGUGAAAUGCGUAGAGAUCUGAAGGAAUACCGGUGGCGAAGGCGGCCCCCUCGGACAGAUACUGACACUCAGAUGCGAAAGCGUCGGGGAGCAAACAGGAUUAGAUACCCUGGUAG
rnacentral:rRNA from 1 species